rnacentral:rRNA from 1 species
GACGAACGCUGGCGGCGUGCUUAAUACAUGCAAGUCGAACGGACAGGCCCUGCUUUCAGGGUACUCGCGUUGCGAACGGGUGAGUAACACGUGGGUGAUCUGCCCUGCUCUUCGGGAUAAGCCUCUUCAACUGGGCCUAAUUCCUGCUAGGAGCUAUUUUUAGUGUGAUGGUUGGAUAGUUUUUUCGGUGUUGGAUGAGCUUGCUGCCUAUCAGCUCGUUGGUGUGGUAAUGGCCUACCAAGGCAGCGUGGGAUAGCCGGCCUGCGAGGGUAGACAGCCACCAGGGGACUGAGAUACGGCCCAGACUCCUACGGGAGGCAGAGGGGGGAAAUAUUGCACAAUGGGGGCAAGCCUGAUACAGCGGCGCCGCGUGGGGGAUGACGGGCUUCGGGUUGUAAACUCAUUUCGAAAGGGACGUAGCUUUUGUGACGGUACCUAGAUAAAAAGCAACGGCUAACUACGUG